UGGGGAAUUUUGGACAAUGGGCGAAAGCCUGAUCCAGCAAUGCCGCGUGUGUGAAGAAGGCCUUCGGGUUGUAAAGCACUUUUGUCCGGAAAGAAAUCCUUGGCUCUAAUACAGUCGGGGGAUGACGGUACCGGAAGAAUAAGCACCGGCUAACUACGUGCCAGCAGCCGCGGUAAUACGUAGGGUGCAAGCGUUAAUCGGAAUUACUGGGCGUAAAGCGUGCGCAGGCGGUUUGCUAAGACCGAUGUGAAAUCCCCGGGCUCAACCUGGGAACUGCAUUGGUGACUGGCAGGCUAGAGUAUGGCAGAGGGGGGUAGAAUUCCACGUGUAGCAGUGAAAUGCGUAGAGAUGUGGAGGAAUACCGAUGGCGAAGGCAGCCCCCUGGGCCAAUACUGACGCUCAUGCACGAAAGCGUGGGGAGCAAACAGGAUUCAGAUACCCUGGUAGUCCACGCCCUAAACGAUGUCAACUAGUUGUUGGGGAUUCAUUUCCUUAGUAACGUAGCUAACGCGUGAAGUUGACCGCCUGGGGAGUACGUCGCAAGAUUAAACUUAAGGAAUUGACGGGGUCAUAGCUGUUUCCU
rnacentral:rRNA from 1 species